rnacentral:rRNA from 1 species
GAUGAACGCUGGCGGCGUGCCUAAUACAUGCAAGUCGAGCGAACGGACGAGAAGCUUGCUUCUCUGAUGUUAGCGGCGGACGGGUGAGUAACACGUGGAUAACCUACCUAUAAGACUGGGAUAACUUCGGGAAACCGGAGCUAAUACCGGAUAAUAUUUUGAACCGCAUGGUUCAAAAGUGAAAGACGGUCUUGCUGUCACUUAUAGAUGGAUCCGCGCUGCAUUAGCUAGUUGGUAAGGUAACGGCUUACCAAGGCAACGAUGCAUAGCCGACCUGAGAGGGUGAUCGGCCACACUGGAACUGGGACACGGUCCAGACUCCUACAGGAGGCAGCAGUAGGGAAUCUUCCGCAAUGGGCGAAAGCCUGACGGAGCAACGCCGCGUGAGUGAUGAAGGUCUUCGGAUCGUAAAACUCUGUUAUUAGGGAAGAACAUAUGUGUAAGUAACUGUGCACAUCUUGACGGUACCUAAUCAGAAAGCCACGGCUAACUACGUG